rnacentral:lncRNA from 1 species
UGCCACUUAAGAAGACUUAAUUUUCCUUGUCUAGGAUAAACAACGUAACAUCAAAUGAUCACCACUUGACUUCUACGAACCAAUAUAAAACUCAAUAAUUAUGAUCACUCUCACAAUAGAUUCUAAACAACACGAUAAGAUAUAUAUAUAUAUAUAUAUAUCCACUCAAGGAUAAGCUUGAAAGAAAAUUACAAAAUGAAAAGGAGAGGGAAAUUUCAAAAUUAAAGUUCCUAGAUCUAGAUAAUGGGCCAAGAUAAUUUAUGUUUUUCUCACUUUGACCUUGCUUUCUCUAAUCCUUGGUUGAGCUUCACAUGGACUCUUGGUGGACUUGAAUGAAUUUCACAUGCUUCAGGUUUCCCUACACUCUUAUGGUCACACCUUGUACCUUAUUUUUGAGCUUUAUGGUCACACCUUGUACCUUUUUUGAGCUUGCUAGGCCCAAAAACAACCUAAGAUAAGAUUACUAUGUAAACAUAUUUUUACAAAGAAAAAUAAAGGAUAAACAAUUCAACCUAGAGUUCAUGAAUACAAAAUUAAGAAACUAAGAUAACAUUUUUGUGUGCAAGAACAUCUUUUCUAGUCAUACUCCUAGUUAUCCUUCUUGAAAUUAUGUGUUUUUAUUUUUUUAUUCUCAUUUAUGCACUAUUCACCAAGAUUCAAUUUAUAUGUAUUGAAUGUAUGCUUUAUUUGAUAAGAGUUUAGGUAGGUAAAAAUGAAUAUUGGUAAAUACUAUUUAAUGAUAUAUUUUUUUAACUAAAUUAUAAAUGCUAAAUAUUAAAUUUAAGAAGAUACACAACUAAAUUGCAUCAAAAUAUUGAUUCAUUGGGAGGAAAAUUUACAAAAAAGGAAGUGUAGAAGAGCGAGUAUAAUCAAAUCUUUUGCACUUUUUUUUGCUUAAAAGGUUAUUCUCUUCUAGACAUCACUAUGAAACUUUGGAUCCCAACUGAGUUAACAUCCCAAAGUUCGUCAAUCAUGUGCUCUUUAAAGAGUGAUAUUAUUAAAAGAAAGAAAAAUAAAAAACAAAUACAAACAUGAGACCCAACCAAACCUAUGAUACAUUCAUGAAAAUACAAACUAGAGAAGGUCAAAUCAAAGGGAACCAUAGAAAUAAUAGGUUUCUUCAAGGCUUCAACCACCAACAUAAAAUUAAUUUCAUACAAAAUGGAUUAUCACACUUUUACCACAACUAACUUAGUUGCAAAAUAAAUGAAAUGUUUUGGAGUUGUUCUGACCUCAAGUCCGUUGGGCAACAUCGCUAGGGUCAAUCACCGCAUCCGAGGUAUUGUCCGCUUUGGAGAUUGGUGCUCUGUCACGAUUUUUUCCUGAAAAUGCGCCUCGAAGGGUAAAGGGAGGAGGGAGUAUAUAAACUGCCAUUGGCCUCGAUUCCUGAGCAAUGUGGGACUAUAUUGGCAUACGGGAACGAGCCCCCCAGUCGAGGUCUAAGGGGAGUGGAUCCCCCUAGUUGAGGGGUGAAGGAGCCUCUUCGACGCCCUGUUGGGCAGCAUCACUAGGGUUAAUCACCGCAUCUGAGGUAUUGUCCGCUUUGGAGGUUGGUGCACCGUCACGGUUUUGUCCUGAAAAGGCGCCUUGAAGGGUGAAGGGAGGAGGGAGUAUAUAAAUUGCCCUUGACCUCGAUUCCUUAGCGAUGUGAGACUAUAUUGGCAUUCGGGAACAGGAGCAAACUAGUAAAUAUCAAUCAAAUAUCAAUAAAGUAAUAUUUCUUAAAUAUUACUUUUUUUCCUUUUCAAAUCUUUCUUUUACAUUAGAGGAAUAAAAUAAAAAUAAUAUAAAAUAAUAUUAUAAUAAAUAUAAUUUUCUUAAUUUCAUCCAAAUCAAACAACAUUCAUUUUUAUUCUAUUUUUCUCACAUUUUUUCACUCGCACACAAAAAUUUGUAAAAAUAUUUAUUAAAAGAAAAUAAUGUAAAGUAAAAAGAAUCAAACCUUUAAGAUCUAAUGAGCACAACAAUUUGUUUGAUUUCCUUUUGUUCUUCUUCCUUAUCAUUCACUUCUUUGAUAUUUUUCAUUCUUCAAAGUUGAUCAUAGGAUAAUGCCCUCAUAUCAAAAAUAAAAUUGAAAUCGAAAUUAAUAUCUCACUUACUAUUGAAAUUUCUUGCUUUUUAAGGACAUACUUAGUGAAAUUUAAUUAAGUAUAUACUUUUAUAUGACCAAAGUUAUUAUUCAUAAAUUACUAUCAUCUUUCUUUUUCAUUGAAAAAACUCACUCUUUUUUAUAAGAACAAUAGUAACAAGAGUUGAAACUGAGACCUUUUGCAAAUUCUUCCAAUCUUCGUUUUCCCAUCAAGGCAACAACUUGUUCUCAUCUUCAUCACCCCUUUUGUGAUCAUUUCUUUCAAAUUUUGUUUCUAUGAUAAAUUCCAUUUAUUUUUGCUUCCACUUAUAUAAAUUUUAAAUUACUUCAAUUCUCGUGAUUUUGAUUUUGAUGUGAAUAAAUUUUUUGUCAAGUCAAAAUAAUUAUGUGAAAGAAUAGUUACAAAAGAUUAUUUUUCCUACAUGUCAUAAAAAGUGUAACUUUGUUAUGCCUCAAAGUACUUUUUAUCAUGAUUAAGAAAUUUUGGUUCACCUAGUCACAACAACAUUUUUGUGAUUAAGAAAUUAUUUUCUUUUUUUAAUGAAAUAUGUAGAUAAAAAAGAUAACAAAGAUAGAGUGAACACUGAAGCAUAACAAAGUUAUGUUUUUUAUGACAUUAAUUUACCUUUUGUAUCCAAUGCUAACAUGAUUAUCUUGACAUGGAAAUUUUUUUUAUGACAUUGGAAGUUAGUAUACCUUUUGUAUCUAAUACUAACACAAUUAUCAUGACAUGGAAAUAAAAUUUAUCUAGAUAAAAAAUUCAUAACUUGAAUAAUAUUAGAAGUUAUAUGUAGUUAAGAAGAGAUAUUGAAGGAUUAUAACAUAAAAAUAAAAUAUAGAAAAGUAUAACUUUAAGGGUGAAGACGAGAGCAAAUUGCUACCUCGAUGGAAAAACGAAGAUUGGAAAAAGUUGCAAAUGAUUUUCCUUUCAAGUGACUUUUCAUCCUCAAAAGUUGAAAAAAAGAAUGCCACAAAUAAAUUUUAAAGUAGAACUCAAAAUUAAUUUCAAAUAAAAAAAUGAAUAUAUGCAAGUUAAGACGAACAUGUGAACUUCUUGAAACUAGAACCAAUUAAUCAAACAAAUGUUGAUGUUAGAUCUAAUCAAAUGUGUGCAUUAAUUCAAAAGCACAUCAAAAGAUAAAAAUAUAAACUCAUGGAUGUGAUAUAAAAUAAUGAAAAGAAUACAUACCCGAUAGGAGGAACUAUUUGGGUGAUUGAGAAUUAUUAGUAUCAAUUAUAAAAAAUUUGGAAUGACUAACAUUUGUUAAUGAAUUAGGGAUUUAUGACUCUAUAAACAAAUAAGAGAAGAUUGAGAUAGAGGGAUUGAAGAUAGAAAUCAUGGGAACAAUGAAGACAAAAGACUUCAUUAAGACUAAAACAAAACUAUUGCUAAAAUCUAAAAGGAAAGUACUGUGAAUAUAUGUAUAUCACAAUCAGCAAAGAAUUUAACAUAUAAAGAAAGAUAAAAAGAGAUAGAAUGAAGAGUUUGUAAGAAUUGAGGAGGUAUUUAUACAUGAUUUUGUUUCCUUUAGGUUGAC